UACGUAGGGUGCGAGCGUUGUCCGGAUUUAUUGGGCGUAAAGAGCUCGUAGGCGGUUUGUCGCGUCGGGAGUGAAAACACGGGGCUUAACCCCGUGCCUGCUUCCGAUACGGGCAGACUAGAGGUAUGCAGGGGAGAACGGAAUUCCUGGUGUAGCGGUGAAAUGCGUAGAUAUCAAGAGGAACACCAGUGGCGAAGGCGAGUCCCUGGACAACUUCUGACGCUGAGGCACGAAAGCUAGGGGAGCAAACAGG
rnacentral:rRNA from 1 species